GACGAACGCUGGCGGCGUGCUUAACACAUGCAAGUCGAACGGAAAGGCCCUGCUUUUGUUGGGUGCUCGAGUGGCGAACGGUUGAGUAACACGUGAGUAACCUGCCCUUGACUUUGGGAUAACUUCAGGAAACUGGGGCUAAUACCGGAUAGGAGCUCCUGCUGCAUGGUGGGGGUUGGAAAGUUUCGGCGGUUGGGGAUGGACCCGCGGCUUAUCAGCCUGUUGGUGGGGUAGUGGCUUACCAAGGCUUUGACGGGUAGCCGGCCUGAGAGGGUGACCGGCCACAUUGGGACUGAGAUACGGCCCAGACUCCUACGGGAGGCAGGAGUGGGGAAUAGUGCACAAUGGGCGGAAGCCUGAUGCAGCAACGCCGCGUGCGGGAUGACGGCCUUCGGGUUGUAAACCGCUUGCGCCUGUGACGAAGCGUGAGUGACGGUAAUGUGUAAAGAAGCACCGGCUAACUACGUG
rnacentral:rRNA from 1 species